GGCUUGCUUUGCCCCCUAUUUGAGUCACCAGUACACCAAAGGUCCCUCGGGUGAUAUGGAGAGGCUGUGGGAGGGUGGCAGGGGUUGGGCAUUCAGCCCCAUUGAGGGGAGAAGUCUCCCUGCUCUGUGAGUGGGGCUUACGGCAAGGCUGGGGACUCAUUCCUGGCUCUUCCCUUGCAGCGGAUCCGGGUUCUCCACGGGCCUCUGCAGGUGCUGCUCUGCGGGGGCUUCCUCCUGUUCAUGGUGCCGGCAGCCUGUGCCCUGUUCCCGCAGCGAUGCUCUCUUGCGCUGGCUGACCUUGAGCUGGAACUGCGUGACAGCAUCGUGGCCAAGUACGGGGACAAAGUGCCCUAUGUCUAUUUUAACAAGGGACUGUGAACGGAGACUACCUCAGGAGCCAUCACACCCGUCUGGCCCCCUGCCACCACCAGCCCCAUGUCCCCUGAGCAGGGCUCAGAGGCACAGUCUAGCCAGAUCUGCCCCCCAGCCCAGCACCAUCUCUGAUGCCUCCUUCCUCCAGAGAGGCAGGAUCUGGCCCUGCAUGCCCAGGUUGCAGCACUUUGGCUUGUCCUGAGCCUUCCCCCAUCUGCUGCUGGCCACGUCCCUGCCUCCCCA
rnacentral:lncRNA from 1 species